GUGCUUAACACAUGCAAGUCGAGUGCGCGCCUGUAGCAAUACAGGUGGCGCACGGCGCACGGGUGCGUAACACGUGGGUAAUCUGCCCUCUGAUGGGGAAUAACUCGCCGAAAGGCGAGCUAAUUCCGCAUAAUAUUCCGAAAACUUUGGUUUUUGGACUGAAAGGCGUAAGUCGUCGGAGGAGGAGCCCGCGCACGAUUAGCUAGUUGGUAGGGUAAUGGCCUACCAAGGCUUUGAUCGUUAGCUGGUCUGAGAGGAUGGCCAGCCACACUGGAACUGAGACACGGUCCAG
rnacentral:rRNA from 1 species